rnacentral:rRNA from 1 species
CCUACGGGUGGCUGCAGUGGGGAAUAUUGGACAAUGGGCGAAAGCCUGAUCCAGCCAUGCCGCGUGUGUGAAGAAGGCCUUCGGGUUGUAAAGCACUUUCAGUGGGGAAGAAAGCCUUGGGGCUAAUACCCUCGAGGAAGGACAUCACCCACAGAAGAAGCACCGGCUAACUCCGUGCCAGCAGCCGCGGUAAUACGGAGGGUGCGAGCGUUAAUCGGAAUUACUGGGCGUAAAGCGCGCGUAGGCGGUCUGAUAAGCUGGUUGUGAAAGCCCCGGGCUCAACCUGGGAACGGCAUCCGGAACUGUCAGGCUAGAGUGCAGGAGAGGAAGGUAGAAUUCCCGGUGUAGCGGUGAAAUGCGUAGAGAUCGGGAGGAAUACCAGUGGCGAAGGCAGCCUUCUGGACUGACACUGACGCUGAGGUGCGAAAGCGUGGGUAGCAAACAGGAUUAGAUACCCUAGUAGUC